AUUGUAUUCUAUGAUGAAUGAAUUGGCGGAAGAGUUCUUUGAAGACUAUAUUCAUCACCCAAGACUGACGAAACUA